CUGCUGCCUCCCGUAGGAGUCUGGGCCGUGUCUCAGUCCCAAUGUGGCCGCCCACCCUCUCAGGCCGGCUACUGAUCGUCGCCUUGGCGGGCCGUUGCCCCGCCAACAAGCUAAUCAGACGCGGGCCCAUCCUGCACCGCCGGAGCUUCCCCGCCGCCCCAUGCGGGGCUGCGGGCAUAUGCGGUAUUAGCAGCCGUUUCCGGCUGUUGUCCCCCAGUGCAGGGCAGGUUUCGCCACGUCGUUCUCCGUACCCCGUCCGA
rnacentral:rRNA from 1 species